CAAGAAAUAAUAGAAGGACAAGCUGAUUGGCUGUUUUCUUAACUUAGUAAAACCAUGUUUUGAACCGUAAAGAGAUGUGCAAGUCCAAAACCAGAGAAUAUCAGAAGAAAAAAACAUAAAAAACGUAAGAAAGUUUCAGUAAAUAAAGGCCAAGUGGGGAGUGAUAGUAAAUUUUCCAUAAAAAAGAAACGUUUCAGACCGGUCCAGGUAUUGACAUAAGAGGAAGGAAAGCAGAACAAAUAAACAAAAGAUAGAGAAAAUGCUCAACUGAACCCAAGGUUGCAGAGUCGUAGAGAGAGGGUUCACAUCUGAAUCAAUCAACAAUGGCUUUCGAAGAAGGGCCACAGACCCUCAGCCUGAAGGUUUAUAUCGACAAGGAGAAGAACAGAGUAGUAAUGGCUGAAGCUGAUGGUGACUUUGUGGACAUUCUUUUAAGCUUCUUGACUAUGCCCAUGGGAACCAUAGUGAGACUCCUCAACAAACAACCACAGCCAGUCACUAUUGGGUCCUUGACCACUCUAUACAAAUGGGUGGAGCAGGAACUUGAGGAACAGUUUCUGCAGACUGAGGCAUGCAAGUCCAUGCUACUUCAUCCAAGGAAUCCUAAUGAAAAAGUUUGCAGCAAACUGAAACUCAAUAUUGACGAUAAAGAGCCCACCAAGUACUAUAUUUGUGCUGAUUGGAAUUGCAGCCGAGGAAUAUGUAAUGGAGGAUCUGGCAGAUUUUAUAGUACUUUCAAAACUGUUAGAUGCAGUUGCGGGAAAAUGAUGGACAAGGAGACGUGUAUGGAAAAACUAGAUCAUGAAGCUGCAGGAUCUGUAGGAGAUGGAGGAGUGUUUGUUUGUGGAACGACCAAGUUCAUGGUAACAGAUGAUUUGCAGGUAAAGUCCAUUUCUCCAGCUACUAUAGUGACACUGUUGUACAAAGUUGGGAUCAAAGACGAGAGAUCACUUCAAGAGACUACACUGAAUAUUGGCUCAGAGGAGAUUUUGAAUCUGCUCAAGAGAUCGUUAUUUUCCAAGACACCUCUGACAGAUGUUUUUCUUAGAAAGCAAGGAUUUACAUCUGAAGCCCUAAAUUUUGAGAUAGCAGAUGCAGUGCAGUCUAAGAGCAGUGGAAUUACUUCAUUCACAUUUCCGGAAUACAUGUGUAUGAAGUUAAUGAUGAGUAAGUCAAUAAACAAAGCCGUAUGCUGAAGCUGGGGAAGAUCUGGUUAACUUUCUCCUCAGCUUCCUUACCUUGCCUCUUGGAUCCAUUUUACAACUCUUGGGUGGGAAUUCAUUGCUGGGAUCCAUGGACAAUCUGUAUAUGAGUGUGGCAUGGUCAAGAAUUACCGAGACUGAUACUAUAAGGGACCUGCUGCUGUACCCUGGCCUCUGCCGUGGUUCUUACAACCCACUAGGACUAAAUGAAAUUGAUGGUCAGCCUAAUUACUUGUGGUGUACAAGUUAUGAAAAUCUGCAGAAGAAAGAUGAUAACCCUUACACUGCCUACCUGACUACUAAGUGUCAGUCUUAUUAUCAUGGUGGAACAAGUGGAUGUUGCCGAAGUUUAUGGAAUAAGUCUCCACAAAGUGGAGGAGGAUUUCUCAAGAGACCAGCGAAUUUCAUGGUAACAGACAAUUUUGUUUUUAAACCUUUAGUGUCUAACUCGAUUCUCUGUCUCUCCUUUGUUACACGAUUGAAGGUUCCCCUGGCUGACUUGGAGGUGCGUGAGAUUAGAGUGUCCAGGGAGCAGGGUUUGAGCUUAUUGAAGGCUAAUCUCUUCUCUAAAUCGUUGCCAACUGAUGUUUGCAAGCCAUAUUCAACUUUGAAUUAAGGAGUCCUGACCAUGAAGAGUAAACCUGGAUAAGGUCAUCAUGGGUUAAAAUAGCCUAAGAUUUGUUCAGUGACCUUAAUUUGUAAGGGUGGUUUGAUUUAAGUUUAUUUACUUGCUCAUAAACAUAGACUUGUGUUUGGCGAUGUUUGUCUAAUUAAGGCUCUAUUUGCCACUAGGUAGCUUUGGGAUAUGAACUAUUCUCUAAGAAGAGAUUAAGGUC